rnacentral:rRNA from 1 species
AAACCAGGAUUAGAUACCCUGUUACCUUUCUUAAUUUUCUCCGGAUUAAUAGUAUUAAUGAAAUUUAACGGAUUUGGCGGCAAGAUAGCUUUUUAGAGGAACCUGCCCUGUGAACGAUGAACCACGAAAGCUUUACUUUAAUUGGUAAUCAGUUUGUAUACCGCUGUUGUCAGUCAGAUUUUUAAAGAUAUUUUCUUUAUUGGUACUCCCAAUGACUUCAAGUAAAGGUGCAGCUUAUAUUAAAGAUAGAGGUGGGUUACAUUUAAACGAAUAAAACGGAUUAAGUUUUUAAACAAACUUACGAAGGUGGAUUUAACUGUAAAAUUUAAUUAGAUUUGGUGAUAGCUCUAUCUUGUG